UGCCAGCAGCCGCGGUAAGACGAACCGGACAAACGUUAUUCGGAAUUAUUGGGUUUAAAGGGUGCGUAGGCGGCGCGAUAAGUUGGGUGUGAAAUCCCUUGGCUCAACCAAGGAACUGCGCCCAAUACUGUCGUGCUUGAGGGAGACAGAGGCGAGCGGAACUGAUGGUGGAGCGGUGAAAUGCGUUGAUAUCAUCAGGAACACCAGUGGCGAAAGCGGCUCGCUGGGUCUCUUCUGACGCUGAGGCACGAAAGCUAGGGUAGCGAACAGGAUUAGAUA
rnacentral:rRNA from 1 species